GGGGGAAUCUUCCGCAAUGGGGCGCAAGCCUGACGGAGCAACGCCGCGUGAGUGAAGAAGGGUUUCGACUCGUAAAGCUCUGUUGUCGGGGACGAAUGUGGAGAUGGUGAAUAACUAUUUUCAAUGACGGUACCUGACGAGGAAGCCACGGCUAACUACGUGCCAGCAGCCGCGGUAAUACGGAAGGUCCGGGCGUUAUCCGGAUUUAUUGGGUUUAAAGGGAGCGUAGGCCGUCUGUUAAGCGUGUUGUGAAAUGUCGGGGCUCAACCUGGGCAUUGCAGCGCGAACUGGCAGACUUGAGUGCGCAGGAAGUAGGCGGAAUUCGUCGUGUAGCGGUGAAAUGCUUAGAUAUGACGAAGAACUCCGAUUGCGAAGGCAGCCUGCUGUAGCGUAACUGACGCUGAAGCUCGAAAGCGUGGGUAUCGAACAGGAUUAGAUACCCUGGUAGU
rnacentral:rRNA from 1 species